UGAGAACAGGCGGAAAUUGCCUCGGUGU
rnacentral:piRNA from 1 species